rnacentral:lncRNA from 1 species
CUUUUUUUUUUUUUUUUCCAUUUUCUUAAGAGUCUAAGGUUUACACAAUCACUCACAAUGUGACGCGAGCCAGCAAGGCCAAAACCGCUAGAGAAACAAUGGGAUCUCUCCUUGUAAACUUGUACAGUACGCGGGACUUUUUUCAAAACAGCUUUUUGUACAUGAUUUAGAGACAAAUUUUGUACAUGAAACCCCAGAUAGACUAUAAAUAAUUCUAACCCAACAAGUAGGUAGCUGUGUAUGACACUGCUUUAAAUCAUUCAAAUGCCUUUGUUUGUGGACUGUGCAAAGGUUGGAAGUGGGUUUGCAUUUCUAAAAUGGUGACUUUUAUUCUGCAAGAGUUCUUAGUAACUUCUUGAGUGUGGUAGACUUUGGAACAUGUACAUUUUUUGCUUGUAAUGUUAUCCUGUGGUAGGGUUUUCGCAGUUAUGCACUGCCCUAUUUUAUUUUGAGUCUAAGUUAAAUGUUUUCUGAGGAGAUACAUGCACUGAACUGUUUCCACUACAAAUCAAGAUGUGGUAAAAAAUGAAAGAACCAGGACCAGUAAGAUCUAAUACUACUGUCAGUUUAAUGUCCACUGUGUUUUAUACAGUAUCUUUUUUUUGUUGUUGUUCACUUUGGAAAUUUUUACUAAAACCUGCAAAAAAUAAAGUAUUGUGCAAAGAUGUAAGGGUUUUUGAAACUUGAAAUGCAUUAAUAAAUAGACUUGAUGAAAUCAAUCUGAUGGGUCUAUGCUCUGUGAACUCAGAAUGGUCAGAAGCAGCUGCUGUGCUGAAUGAAGGAACACUCAGCAGGAAGGUCUCUCCCCAUUCGAGUGCAGGCGUCACUGUGUAGUCCAGAGCCACAGUGAGGAGUGGUUGUCAUUGUUAUACACACACUGCAUGUUAAAAGUCACUCAGUGCAGCUGCUUCUCACUGCUUCUCGUCAGUGUCCAGGACUGUCUUUCUGAAGAGCUAAACCUAACUGGGAACUUGCAGUCUUCUUUCUGUGUUCUCAAAGUCCUGUCUGGGUGCUAAGUG